rnacentral:rRNA from 1 species
UACGUAGGGUGCAAGCGUUAUCCGGAAUUAUUGGGCGUAAAGCGCACGUAGGCGGUUCGUUAAGUCGGAUGUGAAAGCCCUCGGCUCAACUGAGGAAGUGCACCCGAAACUGGCGAGCUUGAGUACGAAAGAGGAUCGCGGAAUUCCCGGUGUAGAGGUGAAAUUCGUAGAUAUCGGGAGGAACACCGGUGGCGAAGGCGGCGAUCUGGGUCGAUACUGACGCUGAGGUGCGAAAGCGUGGGGAGCAAACAGG